CUUAUAUAACAAUGUGAAAGAACUUUCACUUUAGACCUGAUUUAUCCUUAAUGGAAAUGCACGGCUUCUAGAAAGCCUUUUACAUCUUCAUGGUUUUUAAGUAUCUGUUUGCAUCAUGGCGUGUUUCGGAGCAGGACUCAGGGACGACAUUGAACUGGAGCAGCUUGUGGAGGUGGAGUACUCUAUUCCUCCAGGUAAAGA